rnacentral:rRNA from 1 species
AUUGAACGCUGGCGGCAGGCUUAACGCAUGCAAGUCGAGCGGGGUGAUGGUGCUUGCACUAUCACUUAGCGGCGGACGGGUGAGUAAUGCUUAGGAAUCUGCCUAUUAGUGGGGGACAACAUCUCGAAAGGGAUGCUAAUACCGCAUACGUCCUACGGGAGAAAGCAGGGGAUCACUUGUGACCUUGCGCUAAUAGAUGAGCCUAAGUCGGAUUAGCUAGUUGGUGGGGUAAAGGCCUACCAAGGCGACGAUCUGUAGCGGGUCUGAGAGGAUGAUCCGCCACAUUGGGACUGAGACACGGCCCAGACUCCUACGGGAGGCAGCAGUGGGGAAUAUUGGACAAUGGGGGGAACCCUGGUCCAGCCAUGCCGCGUGUGUGAAGAAGGCCUUAUGGUUGUAAAGCACUUUAAGCGAGGAGGAGGCUCUUUUGGUUAAUACCCAAGAUGAGUGGACGUUACUCGCAGAAUAAGCACCGGCUAACUCUGUGCCAGCCGCCGCGGUAA